rnacentral:rRNA from 1 species
CCCAGACUCCUACGGGAGGCAGCAGUGGGGGAUAUUGCACAAUGGGGGAAACCCUGAUGCAGCAACGCCGCGUGAGUGAAGAAGUAUUUCGGUAUGUAAAGCUCUAUCAGCAGGGAAGAGAAUGACGGUACCUGACUAAGAAGCCCCGGCUAACUACGUGCCAGCAGCCGCGGUAAUACGUAGGGGGCGAGCGUUAUCCGGAUUUACUGGGUGUAAAGGGAGCGUAGACGGCUGGUCAAGUCUGAAGUGAAAGCCCGGGGCUUAACCCCGGAACGGCUUUGGAAACUGAGCAGCUAGAGUGCUGGAGAGGUAAGCGGAAUUCCUAGUGUAGCGGUGAAAUGCGUAGAUAUUAGGAGGAACACCAGUGGCGAAGGCGGCUUACUGGACAGUAACUGACGUUGAGGCUCGAAAGCGUGGGGAGCAAACAGGAUUAGAUACCCGUGUAC